CAUUGGCAUUGUAUCAUACUCUUCAACUUUAAAAGAGUUUCCUUAACUUUUUGUAUCAUUGUAUAGGGUUUGUCUAAUAUGCACAAGUUUUUUCUUGUGGAACAACAAACCCCUUUUAACCCACUAUAAGGGUUUCCAGUCCAAGGUCUCUUCACCCAUCACCGCUUCUCCAUGCCUCUAAGGUCCCUCCUGUGAGUCCACUGUCCUCACCCAUCACCACGCCUCAAGCGACGCCAGCGUUUGCAAAUCGUAAGCAGAUUGCAUAUCAAGAACCAAGAAAGAAGCAAAUUGCAAAUCGUAACAGAGUAAAUCAGAAACCAGGAACCACUCAAAAGUCGUGAUGAUCGAAUUUGGAAUUAGUUGAAGUAAGAUCGAAGAAGGUGAAUCAGGAAUAAGAACCAGUCACAAGUCGUGAAUCUGAAACAGGUUGAUGCAAGAUCAAAAUUACACAUUUAUUUUACAGGGAUUUAUAACCGUAAACGUUUUUCUUUUUUCUCUUUUUAAGCAUCUACGUCGCUGUCAGAACAGCUGGAGCCAAAUAUGGGGACUUUUAUUCUUUUUCUUCCUUUCGAUCCCGUUAAAGGGAUACGGUAAUUAAGAAGUCACAAUCAAGGACCCCAAAGCCAUCCACUAGUAUGUCACGCUUUGAAUUCAUCUUCUUUCUUUAUGGGAAGCGACUAGUCAAAGUCCCCACCCCACAUGUGUCAUGUGGAAAUUUCAGCUACGGCACAAAAUAUCUUCCAUUAUUGGGUGUACCAUUCUGAUGAAAAGCUAAAGUAUUUUUUGUCAAAAGUGUGAGAUGAUAAAAGCAAUAAGUGUGACCCAACUCAUUUUUUCUGCACAUUCAUUGUCAUAUAGGAUUUAAAGUAUAUAUAAGAUUUUCGGUGCAAA